UACGUAGGGGGCGAGCGUUGUCCGGAUUUAUUGGGCGUAAAGAGCUCGUAGGCGGUUUGGCAAGUCGGGUGUGAAAACUCCGGGCUCAACUCGGAGACGCCACUCGAUACUGCUAUGACUCGAGUCCGGUAGGGGAGUGCGGAAUUCCUGGUGUAGCGGUGAAUGCGCAGAUAUCAGGAGGAACACCGGUGGCGAAGGCGGGCACUCGCGGCGAUACUGACGCUGAGGAGCGAAAGCGUGGGGAGCGAACAGG
rnacentral:rRNA from 1 species